UACGGAGGGUGCAAGCGUUAUCCGGAUUUAUUGGGUUUAAAGGGUACGUAGGCGGUAAGGUCAGUCAGUGGUGAAAGCCAACAGCUUAACUGUUGAAUUGCCAUUGAUACUACCAUACUUGAGUACAGUCGAGGUAGGUGGAAUUCCACAUGUAGUGGUGAAAUGCAUAGAUAUGUGGAGGAACGCCGAUAACGAAGGUAGCUUACUAGGCUGUUACUGACGCUGAGGUACGAAAGCGUGGGGAGCGAACGGG
rnacentral:rRNA from 1 species